rnacentral:rRNA from 1 species
UACGUAGGGUGCGAGCGUUGCCCGGAUUUAUUGGGCGUAAAGGGCGCGCAGGCGGUACGGCACGUCCGUUGUGAAAUCGCUCGGCUCAACUGGGCGGGGUCAGCGGAUACGGCCGCACUUGAGCAAGCUAGGGGGCAAUGGAAUUCCCGGUGUAGUGGUGGAAUGCGUAGAUAUCGGGAGGAACACCAGUGGCGAAGGCGGUUGCCUGGAGCUUUGCUGACGCUGAGACGCGAAAGCGUGGGGAGCGAACAGG